UAAGGAAUAUUGGUCAAUGGACGCAAGUCUGAACCAGCCAUGCCGCGUGGAGGAUUAAGGCCCUCUGGGUUGUAAACUCCUUUUAUCUGGGAAGGAAUGUGCUUUUUCUUGAGUACUUGACGGUACCAGAGGAAUAAGCACCGGCUAACUCCGUGCCAGCAGCCGCGGUAAUACGGAGGGUGCAAGCGUUAUCCGGAUUCACUGGGUUUAAAGGGUGCGUAGGUGGGCAGGUAAGUCAGUGGUGAAAUCUCCGGGCUUAACCCGGAAACUGCCGUUGAUACUAUUUGUCUUGAAUAUUGUGGAGGUAAGCGGAAUAUGUCAUGUAGCGGUGAAAUGCUUAGAUAUGACAUAGAACACCAAUUGCGAAGGCAGCUUACUACACAAUCAUUGACGCUGAGGCACGAAAGCGUGGGGAUCAAACA
rnacentral:rRNA from 1 species